UGAGGAAUAUUGGUCAAUGGGCGAGAGCCUGAACCAGCCAAGUCGCGUGAAGGAAGAAGGUUCUAUGGAUUGUAAACUUCUUUUGUAAGGGAAUAAAAAAGAGUACGUGUACUCUAUUGUAUGUACUUUACGAAUAAGGAUCGGCUAACUCCGUGCCAGCAGCCGCGGUAAUACGGAGGAUCCGAGCGUUAUCCGGAUUUAUUGGGUUUAAAGGGUGCGUAGGCGGACUUAUAAGUCAGCGGUGAAAGUUUGCAGCUUAACUGUAAAAUUGCCGUUGAAACUGUUAGUCUUGAGUGUAAAUGAGGUAGGCGGAAUGUGUUGUGUAGCGGUGAAAUGCUUAGAUAUAACACAGAACACCAAUUGCGAAGGCAGCUUACUGGGAUACAACUGACGCUGAGGCACGAAAGCGUGGGGAUCAAACA
rnacentral:rRNA from 1 species